rnacentral:rRNA from 1 species
CCUACGUGAGGCAGCAGUGAGGAAUAUUGGUCAAUGGCCGAAAGGCUGAACCAGCCAAGUCGCGUGAGGGAAGACGGCCCUACGGGUUGUAAACCUCUUUUGUCGGGGAGCAAAGAGAGUCACGUGUGACUCAUUGAGAGUACCCGAAGAAAAAGCAUCGGCUAACUCCGUGCCAGCAGCCGCGGUAAUACGGAUGAUGCGAGCGUUAUCCGGAUGUAUUGGGGUAAAAGGGUGCGCAGGCGGAGGUGCAAGUCAGCGGUCAAAUUGCGUGGCUCAACCCCGUACUGCGGUUGAAACUGCAUCCCUUGAGUGCGCGAGAAGUAUGCGGAAUGCGUGGUGUAGCGGUGAAAUGCAUAGAUAUCAC